CUGGGAAUUGGUGAUGGACAGGGAAGCCUGGCCUGCUGCAGUCCAUGGGGUCACAAAGAGUCGGACAGGACUGAGCGACUGAACUGAACUGAGACUUUUUCCAUCUGUGCACAGACCAUGUGGUUGAUCUACAUGACAAACCCCACUUCCUGUCUUGGGGGAGAGUCACAAGGAACCCAGGUACUUAUGUAUAUGUGCUCUCAGGCACUUAAAGACACUGAAAUCUCAGCUUGAGGCAGAAUUAAACAGAUUUGUGCAGGGGAAUCCAUGCCUCAUGCCGCUCUCCAGCCUGCUCUGGGUGCUCCUGGCCGUCACCUUCUCUGGAUCUGGUGUGGCCCAGAAAGUUACUCAAGACCAGCCAGACAUAACCCGUCAAGUGGAGCAGUCAGUCACUCUGAACUGUCAGUAUGAAGUCAGUUGGUACAUGAUCUCCUACUACAUUUUUUGGUACAAGCAGCUUCCCAGUGGACAGAUGACUUACCUCAUUCAUCAGUAUUCAGAAGAUGGGAAUGCAAGGGACGGCCGUUACUCUGUAAACUUCCAGAAAGCAGAUAACUCCAUCAGCCUCACCGUUUCAGCCUUACAGCUGGAAGAUACUGCAAAGUACUUCUGUGCUCUUCGUGAACUCACAGUGGUUGAAGUAAUGGGAAAAGCUGAACAAAAACCCCAGAGCUUAAUAAGAGAGAGCCUCCAUGCUUCAGGACUCCAGCUGAGAUGCACACCUGCAGAUCCCAGCAAGAAAUGAUAAUUGUGUGGUUGCUUCAUCUGUGGUCUGGAUCAUAGAAUUUAAUUCUAAGUAAAAGCUUCUUCCUUGUUAUUUGGUGUCCAGAGUAAUUUUCUACUGUUAACAUUCUCUUGUUGAAUUUUUGACUUUAAAUCAAUCAUACAGAACAUGUGUAAAGUUGUCUAAACUUGCUCCAUAAAUAAUUAAAAGUGACAGUUUCACUAAAAUACACUCGCAUCACAAAUCUGGGUAUAGUUACUUGGAAUCGUCAUAAAAAUAAUUUCCUUAGUCCUUUAUUCUUAGUAUUGUGUCACUGAAGGUACAAUCAAAGAAGCAGAACCACCAGUGGUGUGGAAUAAGAAAUUAGUUAUAAAGAUUAGGACUCAGGUAAUUGCUAGAUCUGGUGGAAGAGUGUAUACAAAUCUGUUAUCUUGGUAUCUGAUGUUGAGACUGAACUAAUUGUUUGUCAGCUAGAGUAAUAUUUGAAGAAGAAAG